rnacentral:rRNA from 1 species
AACGAACGCUGGCGGCAGGCCUAACACAUGCAAGUCGAGCGAUGCCUUCGGGCUUAGCGGCGGACGGGUGAGUAACGCGUGGGAACGUGCCCUUUGCUACGGAAUAGCCCCGGGAAACUGGGAGUAAUACCGUAUGUGCCCUUCGGGGGAAAGAUUUAUCGGCAAAGGAUCGGCCCGCGUUGGAUUAGGUAGUUGGUGGGGUAAUGGCCUACCAAGCCGACGAUCCAUAGCUGGUUUGAGAGGAUGAUCAGCCACACUGGGACUGAGACACGGCCCAGACUCCUACGGGAGGCAGCAGUGGGGAAUCUUAGACAAUGGGGGAAACCCUGAUCUAGCCAUGCCGCGUGAUCGAUGAAGGCCUUAGGGUUGUAAAGAUCUUUCAGUGGGGAAGAUAAUGACUGUACCCACAGAAGAAGCCCCGGCUAACUCCGUGCCAGCAGCCGCGGUAAUAC